AUUCCAGCUCCAAUAGCGUAUAUUUAAGUUGCUGCAGUUAAAAAGCUCGUAGUUGGAUUUCGGGUGGGAAUGGCCGGUCCGCCGUUUCGGUGUGCACUUGCUACGCCCACCUUGCUGCCGGGGACGUGCUCUUGAGUUUGCGCUCGGGACACGGAGUCGGCGAGGUUACUUUGAGUAAAUUAGAGUGUUCAAAGCAGGCCUACGCUCUGAAUACAUUAGCAUGGAAUAACACGAUAGGACUCUGGCCUAUCUUGUUGGUCUGUAGGACCGGAGUAAUGAUUAAGAGGGACAGUCGGGGGCACUCGUAUUUCAUUGUCAGAGGUGAAAUUCUUGGAUUUAUGAAAGACGAACUACUGCGAAAGCAUUUGCCAAGGAUGUUUUCAUUA
rnacentral:rRNA from 1 species